UACUCCUACGGGAGGCAGCAGUGGGGAAUAUUGGACAAUGGGGGCAACCCUGAUCCAGCAAUGCCGCGUGUGUGAAGAAGGUCUUCGGAUUGUAAAGCACUUUCGACGGGGACGAUGAUGACGGUACCCGUAGAAGAAGCCCCGGCUAACUUCGUGCCAGCAGCCGCGGUAAUG
rnacentral:rRNA from 1 species